AUUGAAUGCUGGCGGCAUGCUUUACACAUGCGAGUCGGACGGCAGCACAGAGAAGCUUGCUUCUUGGGUGGCGAGUGGCGAACGGGUGAGUAAUAUAUCGGAACGUACCGAGUAAUGGGGGAUAACUAAUCGAAAGAUUAGCUAAUACCGCAUAUUCUCUGAGGAGGAAAGCAGGGGACCUUCGGGCCUUGCGUUAUUCGAGCGGCCGAUAUCUGAUUAGCUAGUUGGUGGGGUAAAGGCCUACCAAGGCGACGAUCAGUAGCGGGUCUGAGAGGAUGAUCCGCCACACUGGGACUGAGACACGGCCCAGACUCCUACGGGAGGCAGCAGUGGGGAAUUUUGGACAAUGGGCGCAAGCCUGAUCCAGCCAUGCCGCGUGUCUGAAGAAGGCCUUCGGGUUGUAAAGGACUUUUGUCAGGGAAGAAAAGGCUGUUGCUAAUAUCAAUAGCUGAUGACGGUACCUGAAGAAUAAGCACCGGCUAACUACGUGCCAGCAGCCGCGGUAAUACGUAGGGUGCGAGCGUUAAUCGGAAUUACUGGGCGUAAAGCGAGCGCAGACGGUUACUUAAGCAGGAUGUGAAAUCCCCGGGCUCAACCUGGGAACUGCGUUCUGAACUGGGUGACUAGAGUGUGUCAGAGGGAGGUAGAAUUCCACGUGUAGCAGUGAAAUGCGUAGAGAUGUGGAGGAAUACCGAUGGCGAAGGCAGCCUCCUGGGAUAACGCUGACGUUCAUGCUCGAAAGCGUGGGUAGCAAACAGG
rnacentral:rRNA from 1 species